rnacentral:rRNA from 1 species
AUUGAACGCUGGCGGCAUGCCUUACACAUGCAAGUCGAACGGCAGCACGGGUGCUUGCACCUGGUGGCGAGUGGCGAACGGGUGAGUAAUACAUCGGAACAUGUCCUGUAGUGGGGGAUAGCCCGGCGAAAGCCGGAUUAAUACCGCAUACGAUCUACGGAUGAAAGCGGGGGACCUUCGGGCCUCGCGCUAUAGGGUUGGCCGAUGGCUGAUUAGCUAGUUGGUGGGGUAAAGGCCUACCAAGGCGACGAUCAGUAGCUGGUCUGAGAGGACGACAGCCACACUGGGACUGAGACACGGCCCAGACUCCUACGGGAGGCAGCAGUGGGGAAUUUUGGACAAUGGGCGAAAGCCUGAUCCAGCAAUGCCGCGUGUGUGAAGAAGGCCUUCGGGUUGUAAAGCACUUUUGUCCGGAAAGAAAUCCUUGGCCCUAAUACGGUCGGGGGAUGACGGUACCGGAAGAAUAAGCACCGGCUAACUACGUG